AUGACGUACAUCACCUACUCCAACAUCUGCGCGUCCCUCGUUCGGGGCUGCCUCAAGGAGCCCUACCGAUCAGAGGCCGCCGCCCGGGAGAAGGUUCACUUCGCAGUCUCCAAAUGGGCCAACGGCAAGCCCGAGAAGUCCUCGAUACGUUCAGAUUCACAUGCAGAAUAAGGGCUGAAGCUCUCUUCGGACUGGAUUGCUUGUCAAAUUCUCAUCCAAGGACUGGAUUGCAUUUUCCAGGUUGCAGGAAAUAAAAGUGUUUGAUCAAGUUGGUACAUCUGAAACCACUGGCCUUUGGGAAUUAACCAACUUUCAAUUUUAAUAUAAUAAGAUUUCAAUGUGCAAUUUACAUCUUUUAUUUA